AGACUGGGCGCCGACAGCAUCCUCCGGGGGUAGGCGCCCACAGUCAUUCUUUCCAUCGCUGCGGACACGGGAGUCAGAAGUGAAACAGUCCUGUCCUCGUGGGGCUUACGUUCCAGGCGCAAGAGCCACAGGUAGUCGAAUUGGGAAACCGCCUCGGAUGUCACAUAAGCGCCCAGGGAGGACAGGGCAGGACAGGGCCUCCCUGGGGAGGUGACUUGAGUCAAGACUCAAAAGAGGGAAGCGAGGGAACAAGCCAUGCGAGGAACUAACGAAGGAACAUUCCAGAAAGAUUUCACAUCCCAAGCCUAAGGUCCAGGGGCAGCAGGCAUUGAGGCGGAUGUGGCUGGAGUGGAGAGAAAGAGGAAUUAAAAGGAUGGAGUAAUGACAAUAAUGGCUCACAUUUUUUAGCAAGAGGUGGGUUCACUACCUAUCUGUCGUUAUCUGGGGGGAAAUUAGGCUCUGGGAGGUCAAAUAACUUGCCCAAGGUCACACAGCUUGUAAGUGGCCAGACCAGCAUUGGAACCCAAGGGGACGGAUGUCUGAAACACACCCAGGAGUCCCAAGGUGGGAUGACCUUGACCAAGACAGGCCCUUUACCCCUUGCCUCAGUUUCAUCCCAAAGAGCUGCCCAAACACAGCUUAAAAUCAGGGCACAGAGCAAGGGUGUAGCUGAGUGUGCGUAACAUCUGUUCUCCUGGGAGAUGCUUUUGUUGUCUGGGAAGCACUUGUCACCUCUCCAGGCUCUGGAGCAGGUACAAGUGGCUUCGGGGAGAAAGGGUGGGAGCCGGGAAGAGGCUGCUUCUGGUGGCAGGAGGAGAGAGGGAGUGGGUGAGGGGCCCCGGGCUGGCUGAGUGCUCUGGAGCAUGACAAAGGCAGUGUCAGCCAGGCAGCUGUGUCCGCCACUAGCAACCGCGCAGGCAGCAUCCCCCGCCAUCCCUCUGAGCCUGGAGAGAUUGAAACACACACAGUCAGCGUGCCUGCUGCCCAGGUGAGGUGCAGAAGGCCUGGGGGUUGCCAGUCUGGGCUCUGCCGCGAGAAAGUGGCUUUUCUGCAGCCGGAAGCGGGGAGGAAGUGUUUUCACCCUUCUACAAAGCUCUGUCUCUGCCUCUGGAUCCACGGUGCUGCAGGCCUGAGGGCUCUCAUGGGUACGGGCCUGGUGAGUAAUCUAGAAUUUGCCCCUUCCCCAGCCUGGUGCAGCCUCUAGUCUCGGCCUUCACGCUCUGCUGUAAAAUGAGGCUGGGUCAGGAGUGGGACCCAUCCUCCGUGUUUGAGGAGCUGGGCUAUUACAUGAGCCCCUACCUGAGGUCGCCAGCGAGUCAGAGGUCCUGGUGGGACCAGACCAAAAUGGAACCUACUAUCGGGCCCAUUUUGAGAGGGAGACAGAGAGAAGUUAAAAGUACAUGCACACACAGCUCUAAAGUAGCAGAGAUGGCAUUCAAGUCCAAAGCCUUUGACUCCAGGACGGGCACAGUGGCUCACACUUGUAAUUUCAGCACUUUGGGAGGCCGAGGUGGGAGGAUCUCCUAAGCCCAGGAGUUCAAGACCAGCAUGGGCAACAUGGUAAGACCCUAUCUCUAUUAGCGGGGCGUGAUGGCACAUGGCUGUAGUCCCAGCUACUCUGGAGGCUGAAGCAAGAGAAUCGCUUGAACUUGGAAGGCAGAUGUUGCAGUGAGCUGACAGAGCAAGAUUCCAUCUCAAAACGAACAAUCAAACACUAGUCUUCCCGGCCAGGUUUCUCAAAAGAGGGGGCUACCUGAGGUCACCCACUCCUGCCGAACUCCAGGUGGGCUUCCUCAUCCCUUGCUCUAUCCUAAACUGUUCCUUAAGUGACAGUUCACACCCUGACGUCUUCCAAGCUGAGACCCCACCAGCAGCUAGCUUUUCCUUUGUGGUUCCACCCACCUCCUAAAUCCCUUUAGCAGCCGGGUGCGGUGGCUCGCGCCUGUAAUCCCAGCACUUUGGGAGGCCGAGGCGGGUGGAUCACGAGGUCAGGAGAUCGAGACCACGGUGAAACCCUGUCUCUACUAAAAAUACAAAAAAAUUAGCUGAACGUGGUGGCGGGCGCCUGUAGCCCCAGCUACUCGGGAGGCUGAGGCAGGAGAAUGGCAUGAACCCGGGAGGCAGAACUUGCAGUGAGCUGAGAUCGCACCACUGCACUCCAGCCUUGGCGACAGAGUGAGACUCCAGCUAAAAAAAAAAUCCCUCUAGGGUCCUGCGCCUCUGCCUGUAGCCCCUAAAACCGAAUACUCCUGAAAGUUUUAUCCUGGGAACCCCUUUCCUUGACACUUUAACUCCGUGGAAGAGGCAAAAGUGAGGGGAACCCCCAUCUCUACUUAAGAGUUCCCCACAUAUUUUUUAUUAUUAUUUUUUUCGUGACGGAAUUUCACUCUUUGUUUGCCCAGUCUGGAAUGCAAUGGCACAAUCUCAGCUCACUGCAACCUCUGCCUCCCGGGUUCAAGUGAUUCUUCCACCCUAGCCUCCCGAGAAGCUGGGAUCACAAGCGCCCACCACCACACCAAACUAAUUUUGUAUUUUUAGUUGAGACGAUUUCACCACGUUGCCCAGGCUGGUCUCGAACUCCUCAGAUGAUCGGCCCUCUGCCUCCCAAAGUGCUGGGAUUACAGGUGUGAGCUCCUGCGCCCGGCUCAGAGUUCCCCAUAUUUAUACUUGCCCUCCAGGGCACACUGGCCUCCAUUUUUAGGGACUUGCUUGGUAUCUGCCCUUGGGUAACCCACUGGAGCUUUCCAGUUGGACUCCUUGAUUGGAGGGGAAUCUGGCUACACCUGUCGCCCCAGGAUGGACCAGCAGGGCCCGUCUUGAGGCUGCACUCGAGGAUAGAGGAAAAAGUGUCAUCUUUAAGAGUCCCACCGAGUAGCCAGGUUUCCCUGCCGGAAAUUCCUGCCUUGUUUUCCUUUCCCUGGUAAAACUAGGAGAGCCACCUCAUUUUCCUGAGCCCUGAGCCCUGAGCGCCCGCCCCCACCCCCGUUGGUUCUAGCUACACAGGCUUUCGGCCUCAGGGUUGCUUUGCACCAUCCCCUUCCCCCGACCCAGGCAAGUUCGCUUCUGCUUCUCUCUUGCCCAGCCCUCAUUAGCAGGCUCUGACACUUCUCAGCCGCCUGUCCGCUUUGCAGAGAACUGACAUGUGAGCUGUGCCCAGGGACAUCUGCUGAAUGGGCGGGUCCCCUGCCGGACCAGUCCAUCUGUCCCUCACUCAGUGUUCCUUCUGAGCUGAAGCUGCCCAGCAUCCCCCAUCUGUGUGAGUAUUCACACAGCGCUGGCCAAAGCCCUGUCGGGAAUCACGUGAUUCAGAUCCUGGUUUUGCCCCUGUCAGCCUUAGGACAAGACAGAUUUCUUUUUCUUUGUUUCUCCUGAGAUAGGGUCUCACUCUGUCGCCCAGGCUGGAGUGCAGUGGUGUGAUCUCAGCUCAUUGCAGCCUCAGCCUUUGGGGUUAUAGCAAGCCUCCCACCUCAGCUUCCCAAGUAGCUAGGAUUAUAGGUGCACACCACCAUGCUCAGCUAUUUUUUUUUACAUUUAUAUUUAGUAAAGACAGGGUCUCACUGUGUUUCCCAGGCUGGUCUCAAACUCCUGGCCCCAAGUGAUCCUCCCGCCUUGGCCUCCCAAAGUGCUGGGAUUACAGGCAUGAGCCACCAUGCCCUGGCUACCCAACAGAUUUCUUUUCUUUUUUCCCCCCCAAGACGGAGUCUCACUCUGUCAUCCAGGCUGGAGUACAUUAGCGCAAUCUUGGGUCAUGGCAACCCCUGCCUCCUGGGUUAAAGCAGUUCUUCUGCCUCAACCUCCCGAGUAGGUGGGAUUACAGGCGCAUGCCACCACGCCCGGCUGGCUAAUUUUUUUGUAUUUUUAGUAGAGACGGGGGUUUCGCCAUGUUGGCCAGGCUGGUCUCAAACUCCUGACCUCGUGAUCCACCUGCCUCGGCCUCCCAAAGUGAUGGGAUUACAGGAAUAAGCCACCAUGCCCGUCCCACCCAACAGAUUUCUUGAGGUGAGUUUUGGUUUCCUGGCAUGGUAUUGGCUACAUGACCUCAUCUGUAAUGUCUUUGGCAAACAGAAUAACUUGUUUUGUAUUACUAUGUUUAAUCUUCAAAAUCACCCUAUUGAGUAGAUUGUCACAAUCAGGCCUGUUUUGUGGAUGAAGAGAGGGAGGCUUGGAGAAGCCGCGUGGUUCAUGCAAAAAUGCAAAGCUGCAAAGUAGUGGCGGUGGGGUUCAAGUCCUGACGCUUUCACCACUGAGCGCCUUGCCAUCCCCUGCUGCCAUCCUCUCUUGGUUCUGAUACUUCUUUUUUUUUUUUUUUUGAGAUGGAGUCUCACUCUGUCGCCCAGGCUGGAGUGCAAUGGUGUGAUCUCGGUUCACUGCAACCUCCACCUCCCACGUUCAAGCGAUUCUCCUGCCUCAGCCUCCGGAGUAGCUGGACUACAGGUGCCUGCCACCACGCCCGGCUAAUUUUUUUGUAUUUUUUUAGUAGAGACAGGGUUUCACCGUGUUAGCCAGGAUGGUCUCACUCUCCUGACCUCAUGAUCCACCUGCCUCGGCCUCCCAAACUGCUGGGAUUACAGGCAUGAGCCAUCACGCCUGGCCUUUAGGCCAGCUAAUUUUAAGGUGCUUCUCUGAGUAGUGUGAACUGGGGGUCAUGCGAAGGGGUCUCAGUGAAUCUGGGCAGAGUGUGGUGCUGCUGGGAGUCUGCAGCCCCUUUCAAACAGUCUGGUUCCUUGAAAGGUUAAACAUGGAGGCCGGGUACAGUGGCUCAGGCCUGUAAUCCCAGCACUUUAGGAAGCUGAGGCAGGCAGAUCACUUGAGGUCAGGAGUUGGAGACCAGCCUGGACAACAUGGCGAAACCCUGUCUUGAUGUAAAAAAAAAAAAAAAAAAAAUUAGCUGGGUGUGGUAGCAGGCACCUGUAGUCCCAGCUACUCAGGAGACUAAGGCAGGAGAAUCCUUUGAAUCUGGGAGGUGGAGGUUGCAGUGAGCUGAAAUCAGGCCACUGCACUCCAGCCAGGGUGACAGAGUGAGACUCCAUCUCAAAAAAAAAAAAAAAAUGUUAAACAUGGAGUGACCAUAUGACGCAGCAGUGCCCCUCCUAGGUAUAUAUCGUGUAUAUCUAAGAGGAAUGGGAACAUAUCUGCACAAAAAUUUGCAUGGGAAUGUUCAGAGCAGUGUUAUUCAUAAGAGCCAAAAAGUGAAAGCAACCAUGUGUCCCUCACCUGAUGAAUGGAUAAAUCAACUGUGGUCUCUCCAAACAGUGGAAUAUGAUUCAGCCAUAAAAAGGAACGAAGCAGCUGGGCGCAGUGGCUCACGCCUGUAGUCCCAGCACUUUGGGAGGCCGAGGCCAGUGGAUCACGAGGUCAGAAGAUCGAGACCAUCCUGGCUAACACGGUGAAACCCUGUCUCUAAAAAAAUUAGCCAGGCAUGUUGGCACAUGCCUGCAGACCCAGCUACUUGGGAGGCUAAGGCAGGAGAAUUGCUUGAACCUGGGAUGCGGAGGUUGCAAUGAGCCGAGAUCGUUCCACUGCACUCCAGCCUGGGAGAUAGAGUGAGACUCCGUCUCAAAACAAAACAAAACAAAACAAAAAAACGAAGCACCAAUACAUACUACAACAUGGAUGACCCUUGAAAGCAUUAUGCCCAGUGACAAGCCAGACACACAGGACGCAUGUUGUGUGUUUCUGUUCAUAUGAAAUUUCCAGAAUAGGCAAAUCCAUAGAGACUGGAAGUAGAUUAAGGGCCAGGGGCAGUGGCUUACGUCUACAGGCAUGAGCAGUUUGGAAAGCUGGGGCAGGAGGAUCACUUGAGACCAGGAGUUCAAGACCAGCAGUUCAAGACCAGCCUGGGCAACAGAGUGAGACCCCUAUCUCUAAAAAAAAAUAAAGUUAGCUGAGUGUGGUGGCGCCCACCUGUAGUCCCAGCUCCACGGGAGACUGAGAGGAGAGGACUGCUUGACCCUGAGAGGUAGAGGCUACAGUGAGCUAUGAUCAAACCACUGAACUCCAGCCUGGGCAACACAGUGAGACUCUGUCUCUAAAAAUAAAUAAAUAAAAAGAUAGGGUAGCUUAGGGGUUGCCUGGGGCCUGGGGUGGUGGUGAGCAUCGGGGAGUGACUGCUAAGUGGAGUUUCUUUUUGGGUUAAUGAAAAUAUUCCAAAAUUGGUCAGUUGCAGUGGCUCAUGCCUGUAAUCCAAGCACUUUUAGGAGGCCAAGGCACGUGGAUCACUUGAGGUUAGGGGUUCGAGACCAGCCUGGCCAACGUGAUGAAACUCCGUCUCUACUAAAAAUACAAAAAAAUCUAGCUGGGCCCGGUGGUGCUCACCUAUAGUCCCAGCUACUUGGGAGGCUGAGGCGGGAGAAUCGCUUGAACCCGGGAGACAGAGGUUGCAGUGAGCCGAGAUCAUGCCACUGCACUCCAGCCUGGGUGACAGAGUGAGACUCCGUCUUGAAAAAAAAAGAAAAAGAAAAUAUUCCAAAAUUGCAGUUAUAGAUGCACAGAUCUGUGGAUAUUUAAAAACAACUGAAUCAUCUACUGUGGUGUAAUUGUAAAGUGGUGAAUUAUAUGGAUUAUAUCUCAAUAAAGGUCUUUUUUUUUCUUUUUUUUUUUUUUUUUUUGAGACGGUAUCUUGCUCUGUCGCCCAGGCUGGAGUGCAGUGGCACAAUCUCGGCUCACUACAAGCUCCACCUCCCAGGUUGGUGGACAUUCUCCUGCCUCAGCCUCAGCCUCCCGAGUCGCUGGGACUACAGGUGCCUGCCACAAUGUCUGGCUAAUUUUUUGUAUUUUUAGUAGAGACGGGGUUUCACCGUGUUAGCCAGGAUGGUCUCGAUCUCCUGACCUCGUGAUGCGCCCACCUCGGCCUCCCAAAGUGCUGGGAUUACAGGUGUGAGCCACUGCACCCGGCCUCACCAAAGGUCUUAUUAAAAAAAUUAGCCAGAUUCCCUGCUUCAGUGAUAAAAAAAAAAAAAAAAAAGAGGGGCAGGAGAAGAGGACCCAAUAACUUCCUGAGUGACUGGGGAAAAUAUUUUUGGGUUAUAUUUCUGUAAUUCUCGUGAAGUGAUUACAGAAGUGACGGGAUAGAAGAGGUUUCUUUAAAAAAAAUUUUUUUUUUAAUUUAGUAGAGAUGGGAUCUUGCUAUAUUGCCCAGGCUGGUCUUGAACUCCUGGACUCAAGCAGUCCUCCUGCCUGGGCCUCCCGGAGCUCCCGGGUUACAGGUGUGCAAUCCCAUGACCAGCCGAUAGAGGACGUUUCUAUUCAUCCUUCAGACCUCAGCUUACAAGUUACCCCAAGAUAAGCCUCCCCCACCCCAUAACCCUCCCUCUGUCACUUUGUCACGCUGCUGAGGGUGUGGCGUCUGUGUGUGCACCUUUGGAAUGUGGCUGAUUCACUCUGAGGGGAGCCAUAUGCUGCCGCCACCGCCUCGGAUCUGACAUCUGGAGGCUGAAUUCCAGGAGGAGAGAGACAGAUUCCUGCAAGCAGAUGCCAACUUUGAAGGUCAAAGGGAGCAAUGGAACUGCUUUGAGGGGGGUGAGAGGGUCCAACACUCCCUCCAGGGGCUGGGAGGGAGGUGAGGCCCCCUCCCCAGACUUGCCUGAGCCCCUGAUCUAUCAGAGCCUCUAUGCGGACAGCUGGGGCGCAAGGAAGAGAGCAUGAGCUUCAGCGUUCAGACCUGGAUUCAAAGACCAGUUUCUGGGCCAGGCACAACGGCUCAUGCCUGUAAUCCCAGCACUUUUGGAAGCUGAGGUGGGAGGAUCACUUGAACCUAGAAGUUUGAGACCAGCCUGGGCAACAUAGUGAGACCCCAUCUCUACAAAAAAAUAGAAAAAUUAGCCAGGUGUGGUGGUGCGGGCCUGUAGUCCCAGCUACUCCUGAGGCAGGAUUGCUUGAGCCCAGGAGGUGGAGGCUAUAGUGAGCCAAGAUUGCACCACUGCACUCCAGCCUGGGUGACAGAGCAAGACCCCCCCAUCUCAAAAACAAAUUAAAAAAUAAAUAAAUAAGUAAAUAAAUGAAAUAAAGACCAGUUCCUUGACAGCUCGUGUAACUGCAGAGGCCGAGGGUCUAGCUGGGUCCAGUGCUCACAGGAACACUGGCUUGCAUCUCCCAGCCAGGUUUCCUCCGUUUUCGCUUUGCUCUUGGGCCAGCGCUUCCUGAGAGGAGGCCCUGAUGUCACAGACCUGUGAACCUCCAGCUUGUGUCUACCACGGGUUCCAGCAGAAUCCUAGGUUUGCCUCUCUUUGGCUGGAGCUGGGUCCCAACCCAGCCCUGUAGCGAUCACCGUACUCCUGAUGGGACAGGCCUGGGUCAGGAGCCUGCCCAGCACAGGGCAAUACCCCUGUAGCCCCAUGGAGCAAAUGGAAAUGAGGGGGGCUGUCCCUUAAAAGAACCACACCGGCCAGGCGUGGUGGCUCACGCCUGGAAUCCCAGCACUUUGGGAGGCUGAGGUGGAAGGAUCGAUUGAUCCUGGGAGUUGGAGACCAGCGUGGGCAACAUAGCAAGACCCUGUCUCUACAAAAAAAAAUUUUUUUUGAGAUGGGAGUCUUGCUGUGUCGCCCAGGCUGGAGCACAGUGGCGUGAUCUCGGCUCACUGCAAGCUCUGCCUCCCAGGUUCAUGCCAUUCUCCUGCCUCAGCCUCCCAAGUAGCUGGGACUACAGGUGCCUGCCACACGCCCGGCUAAUUUUUUUGUAUUUUCAAAAAUUUUUUUUUAAAUUAGAUGAGCAUAGUGGUGUGUACCUGUGGUCCCAGCUACUUGGGAAACUGAGACGGGAAGAUGGCUUGAGCCCAGGAGGUUAAGGCUGCGGUGAGCCUUGAUCGCACCACUGCAUUCCAGCCUGGUCAACAGAGCAAGGCCCUAUCUCAAAAACAAAACAAAAAAACAUAAAUACAAGAGCGACCCCCCAGCUCUGCUAAGCUGCCUCCACCAUGCUGGCUGCCAGGCCCUGUGCUCAGCUUCAUGGGCUUUAGCGUCCCCAGGUGUCCCUUUGGUUGAGUCUCUCCCUUAAGCUCUCAGAUGCUCAUUUUCUUCAUCUCUGAAAUCUCCAAGCUUCUUUUCAGGAUUGGAUGAGACAAUCCUGGCAAAUCCCUUGGCACAGGCCUUGCCCCAAGGAGGCAGAUGAUAGCUCACGUCUAGUUCCUUUCUCAUCCUGACAUCUAGGUUCUCUGUGAUCUGCCUGUGGGCUCGAAGGAUGGUGUGCAUGUGUGUGUUUGCAUGUGUGUGCGUGGGUGUGCAUGAGUGUGUCUGCACGCAGCAGCAGCAGCCCCCUUUCUGUUCUCCUAGGAGUUUUGUAUUUGAUUUCUCCUCCAGAGUCUUGGGGGCUCCACAGGAGAGAUGGUGGAGGCGGGAGGAGCAAGAAAGGGGUGAGGUUAGAAGCCUGGUCCCAGCUGGGGCUGCAGCUGGGGGCCUGCAGGCUCUGGCCUGCCCUGGGAGGCCCUCCCUGUACCUGCAGCUGCAUCUGGGGCCGGAGGAGGGGCCAGGCGUCCUUCCGCUCCAGGAGCUGCUGCCUGUCCCCCUCCCAUGACACAUGAGGACUGUGUCUGGUCGAUUCACAUUGGAGGGUCCCUGAAUGAGCUUUGUCCAUUAGAGGACCUGUAUUCUUGUUCCUGGAACCUGGGAGUGGGUCAGAAGGGUGACUCACACCUGUAAUCCCAGCACUUUGGGAGGCCAAGGUGGGUGGAUUACCUGAGGUCAGGAGUUUGAGACCAGCCUGGCCAACAUGACGAAACCCCAUCUCUACUAAAAAUAUAAAAAUUAGCUUGGCAUGGUGGUGCGUGCCUGUAAUCCCAACCACUCGGGAGGCUGAGACAGGAGAACUGCUUAAACCUGGGAGGCAGAGGUUGCAGUGAGCCGAAAUUGCGCCAUUGCACUCCAGCCUGGGUGACAAGAGUGAGACUCUGUCUCAAAAAAUAAAAAUAGGCCGGGCGCAGUCGCUCACGCCUGUAAUCCCAGCACUUUGGGAGGCCGAGGCAGGCAAAUCACAAGGUUAGGAGAUCGAGAGCAUCCUGGCUAACACAGUGAAACCCCAUCUCUACUAAAAAUACAAAAAAUUAGCCAGGUGUGGUGGCGGGCGCCUGUAGUCCCAGCUACUCCAGAGGCUGAGGCAGGAGAAUGGCGUGAACCCAGGAGGCAGAGCUUGCAGUGAGCCAAGUUCGCGCCACUGCACUCCAGCCUGGGUGACAGAGAGAGACUCUGUCUAAAAUAAAUAAAUUAGUUAAUAAUAAUAAAAAUAAAAAAUAAAAUCAAGCUGGGAGCAGUGGCUCAUGCUUGUAAUCCCGGCACUUUGGGAGGCUGAGACCGGCAGAUCACCUGAGGUCAGGAGUUCGAGACCAACCUGGCCAACAUGGUGAACCCCGUCUCUACUAAAAAUACAAAAAUUUGGCCGGGCACAGUGGCUCACGCCUGUAAUCCUAGCACUUUGGGAGGCCAAGGCGGGCGGAUCAUGAGUUGAGGAGAUCGAGACCAUCCUGGCUAACACGGUGAAACCCCAGACCCCAUCUCUACUAAAAAAAUUAGCCGGGUGUGGUGGUGGGUGCCUGUAGUUUCAGCUACUCGGGAGGCUGAGCCAGGAGAAUCGCUUGAACCAGGGAGGUGGAGGUUGCAGUGAGCUGAGAUCGCACCACUGUACUCCAGCCUGGGUGACAGAGUGAGACUCCAUCUCAAAAAAAGAUUAAAAAAUAAAAAUAAGAUAUAAUUCACAUACCGUAAAAUUCACCUCUUUGAAGUGUACAAUCAGUGGUUUUUAGUGUAUUCAGAGUCGUGCAACCAUCAUCAACAUCUAAUUUCAGAACAUUUUCACCAUCCCAAAAAGAAACCCUAUACUCAAGAAGCAGCCACUCCCCAUUCCUCUUUCCUCCCAGGCCCUGGCAACGCACCAGCCUGUUUUCUGCCUCUAUGGAUUUCCCUAUUCUGGGCAUUUCAAAUAAAGUGGUGGUCUCUUGUGAUUGGCUUUUCACUUAAUGUUUCAAGGUUCGUCUAUAUUGUAGCAUAGAUCAGCACCUUGUUCCUUUUUAUUUUUGAGACACAGUCUCGCUCUGUCGCUCAGGCUGGAGUGCAAUGGUGAAAUCUCUGCUCAUUGCAAGCUCUGCCUCCCAAGUUCAAGCGAUACUUGUGCCUCAGCCUCUGGAGUAGCUGGGAUUACAGGCGUGGACCACCACGCCCGGCUAUUUUUGCUCGUUUUUAGUAGAGAUGGAGUUUCGUCAUGUUGGCCAGGCUGGUCUUAAACUCCUGACUUCAAGUGAUCGGCCCGCCUCAGCCUCCCAAAAUGCUGGGAUUACAGGGCGGCAUGAGCCACCACACCCGGCCUUUAUCUGUCUGUCUGUCUGUCUGUCUAUCUAUCUAUCUAAUCUAUCUAUUUUUGAGACAGAGUCUCCCUCUGUCCCCCAGGCUGAAGUGCAAUGGCACAAUCUCAUCUCACUGCAACCUCUGCCUCCUGGGUUCAAGUGAUUCUCCUGCCUCAGUCUCCCAACUAGCUAGGAUUACGGGCGCCCACCACCACCCCCAGCUGAUUUUUGUAUUUUGAGUAGAGAUGGGGUUUCACCAUAUUGCCCAGGCUGCUCUCCAACUCCUGGCCUCAAGCAACCCGCCUGCCUUGGCCUCCCAAAGUGCUGUGAUUACAGGCAUGAGCCACCGUGCCCAGCUUUUUUUUUUUUUUUUUUUUUUGAGACAGAGUCCUGCUCUGUCACCCAUUUUGGAGUGCAGUGGCAUGAUCUCAGCUCACUGCAACCUCCACCUCCCAGGUUCAAACGAUUCUUCUGCCUCAGCCUCCCGCGUAGCUGGGACUACAGGCGUGCAUCACCACGCCCAGCUAAUUUUUGUAUUUUUAGUAGAGACAGGGUUUCACCGUAUUGGCCGGGCUGGUGUCCGACUCCUGACCUCAGGUGAUCCGCUUGCCUUGGCCUCCCAAAGUGCUGGGAUUACAGGUGUGAGCCACUGCGCCCGGCCUAUUUUUUUUAUUAAAAAAAAAAAAAGAGUAUGGAUAAGGCACUCGCGCUGUGCCUGGUACCUCUCACCUCUCUGGUUGGUGCUUAUGCAUCCCUGAGGUGCCUGUGCAAAGGCAGGCGGACACCCAGGCCCGUGGAGGGGGCAGCAGCCCUGCGACAUUCCCUGCCCCCAAGCAGCAGGAGGCUCAUUUAUCCAUUUAUCAGGGAAGCUUCCUGUGCCUCAGCUUUCCCAAGGUGGGGAAGGGUGAAGUCGAGGCCAGGCCUCUGCGGUUGGGACACCCCGAGGGAUCUCCCUGUCCUCCUCCUCGGUUCUCCAGGCCCCACUCUGCCACUGCCCCAUCUCCCCACCUAGAGCUUCCUGCAGAGCCGGGCAGAGCCGGGUGCCUUCUCUGCUGGUUGCCUGGGCGCCUGUGCCCCUUCCCUAGAUCUGCAGUAGGGAACUGCUUCCCGGUGGCCUAAGGGCUUGGACGCUGGCCAUGACCAUGGACACCCCCACCACCCUGAGAGGGUGCCAUACCCCAGCCCGAGGCUGGAGGGCCAGCUGUACGGCAGGGCCAUGGAAGGGAGGACCAGGCAGCCUCCUGUGGCUCCUGCCAGGGAAACCCUCUCUGCUCGCUGCUGCUCAGCCUUUCCCAGCCCUGCCCCUCUCGUCUUGCUUCUCACAUUUCAGCCUCUGAGUUACUGGCACCACUGUCUGUUGCUGCUGUUGCUGCUGCUGCUGCUGAAGCCGGCACCAGCCAGACAUUAACCCCUGAUGCGCUGGCGGCCGCAGCUGCACAGCAGGAAAGGGGCACCAGGGGCUCAAGCUCUGGCGGGCUUGAGGGAGGAGAGAGCAAUCCCAGAGCCGGUCCCUUUGCUGCCCCCGGUCCCCACUCCACAGUGCUUACUGCGCUUGCUUCUUCCUUGUCUGCACAGACUUGAAGCCAAAACCCUUUCUGACCCCUACGAGUUGCUCCUUCCUCUGACAGUCUGGCUCUGACCAUCAGCCCACAGGAAGGGGCUACAUUUCACCUGGUAGCUGACCUUGUCGUUUCAUGCAUGGCCAUGUUUUCUCCCUCCGUAUGCCUUGUCAUGCCCAGCGGGACCCUCCUCUUGUACCCGGAUUUACCUGGCCACGGUUGAGCCACCAGGACCAGGUAAGCUCUUGAGUUUUGAGGCCAACAGGAAGCCAUUCUCCAGGGCAGCCACGGGGGGAUCUGGAGGAGCCUGAAAGAAGUGCAGGCCCUGGUAGUGGCUGGCUGUGAUGGGCUUGGCCAAGCCCCUUGGGCGUGAUCAUAGGACUCAGGGCACCAUGGUGAGGAUGAAACUAGGAGUGCAGGUGGGGCGCGGCGGCUCACGCCUGUAAUCCCAGCACUUAGGGAGGCCGAGGCGGGCAGAUCACCUGAGGUCAGGACUUCAAGACCAGCCUGGCCAACAUAGUUAAACUCUGUCUCUACAAAAAUACAAAAAUUAGCAGGGCAUGAUGGCUGGUGCCUAUAAUCCCAGCUACUCGGGAAGCUGAGGUGGGAGAAUUGCUUGAGCCUGGAAGGCUGCGGUUGCAGUGAGCCAAGAUCGCACCAUUACACUCUAGCCUGGGUGACAGAGUGAGACUCCCUCUCAAAAAAGAAAAGAAGGAAGGAAGGAAAGAAAAUAACUAGGAGGCUGGGCGCGGUGGCUCACGCCUGUAAUCCCAGCACUUUGGGAGGCCGAGGCAGGUGGAUCACGAGGUCAGGAGAUCGAGACCAUCCUGGCCAACACGGUGAAGCCCCGUCUCUACUAAAAAUACAAAAAAAAAAUUAGCCGGGCGUGGUGGCAGGUGCCUGUAGUCCCAGCUACUCGGGAGGCUGAGGCAGGAGAAUGUCGUGAACCCAGGAGGCAGAGCUUGCAGUGAGCCGACAGAGCGAGACUCCGUCUCAAAAAAAAAAAAAAAAAAAAAAAAAGAAACUAGGAGUGCGAAGAAAGCCCCCACAGCAGCACUGGCCUGCGCUGGUGAUGAUCUAUGGCUCCCGCCCCCGGACCCACACUGGGGCUUGGAGCCUGCCCCUCCCCAGGGAGAGCUGGCCCUGUUUCCUGGCUGCCUCUCCCAGCUGGAAACUCACCCAGCUUUGGUUUUCAUGAGCGCAGGCCUCCAGCCCUCCUCUGGCCUGGUCAGCCCCAGCCUUCCCUUUUCCAGUCUCAAGUGGAACAUGACAUUCCACCUUCCGUUCCCAACCUCUGUCUACUCCAUGUGAAGAGAUCCAGUCACCCAGAGGGACACUGGAGAUGGCACCUCCCAGGUGUCCUCAUCCCACAUGCCUCUGCUUCCUGCCUUUCUUCUGAUCCCCAAAUGCAACUUUCUGGUUUCUUUCAUUCUUUUUUUUUUUUUUUUGAGAUUGAGUCUCGCUCUGUCAGAGGCUGGAGUGCAGUGGCGCAGUCCUGGCUCACUGCAACCUCCACCCCCUGGGUUCAAGGGACACUCCUGCCUCAGCCUCCUGAGUAAUUGGGACUACAGGAGUGUGCCACCUCGCCUGGCUAAUUUUUGUAUUUUUAGUAGAGAUGGGGUUUCACCAUGUUGGUCAGGCUGGUCUCAAACUCCUGCACUCAAGUGAUCUGCCCACCUCAGCCUCCCAAAGUGCUGAGAUUACAGGCGUGAGCCACCAUACCCGGCUCUUUGUUUUUUUCAAGAGUCUCACUUGCUUGCCCUGGCUGGAGUGCAGUGACAUGAUCAUGGCUCACUGCAGCCUCAACCUUUUGGCCUCAAGUGAUCCUACCUCCUCAGCCUCCCAAGUAUCUGGGCCAGGUGCACCACCAACACACCCAGUUAAUUUUUAAAUUUUUGUAGAGAAGGAGUCUUGCUAUGUUGUCCAGGCUGGUCUCAAACUCCUGGGCUCAAGUGAUCCUCCUACCUCAGUCUCCCGAAGUGCUGGGGUUACAAGUGUGAGCCACGGCCCCUAGCUCCCCUUGAUUUCUUGUGGGCCUCCUUUGACCCUCCACUCUCUCUGGCCACACUGCCUUGGUUCCUUGGCUGGCUCUUUUCUCUUUCUCUCUCUCUCUCUCCUUUCUUUUUUCUUUUUUUGAGAUGGAGUCUCGCCCUGUUGCCCAGGCUGGAGUGCAGUGGCGCAAUUUCGGCUCACUGCAAGCUCCACCUCCUGGGUUCACGCCAUUCUCCUGCCUCAACCUUCUGAGUAGCUGGGACUACAGGUGCCCGCCACCACGCCCGGCUAAUUUUUUGUAUUUUUAGUAGAGAUGGGGUUUCACCAUGUAGCCAGGAUGGUGUCGAUCUCCUGACCUCAUGAUCUGCCUGCCUCAGCCUCCCAAAGUGCUGGGAUUACAGGCGUGAGCCACCGUGUCUGGCCUCUUUCUUUCUUUCUUUCAUCUUUCUUUCUUUUUUUUAAUUUUUGACGUAGUCUCACUCUGUCGCCCAGGCUGCAGUGCAGUGGCACGAUCUCGACUCACUGCAAUCUCUGCCUCCUGGGUUCAAGCGACUCUCCUGCCUCAGCCUUCUGAGUAGCUAGGAUUACAGGGGUACGCCACCAAGCCCAGCUAAUGUUUGUAUUUUUAGCAAAGACAGGGUUUCACUAUGUUGGCCAGGCUGAUCUCGAACUCCUGACCUCAGUUGAUCCACCUGCCUCGGCCUCCCAAAUGCUGGGAUUACAGGUGUCAGCCACAACGCCUGGCCUGAUUUACUCUCAUUUUCUAUUAACCAGAGGCCUCCUGGUGAGAAGGCCCCAGGCUGGGUGUCAGGGGUCUUAGAUCUGGUCUCAUGGUUACAGCUAAUUCUUUGAGGGUCUUCAGAAAUGUCCAUCCUCCAUGUCAACAGGCUCUGCUCUGCUUGAUGAAAUUAUUGUAACUGCCCCAUGGCCUCAUAAUCAAUUGAUAAAGCAGUUUGAUGGCCAUUUCUGUGUAAAGCAGAAACAGUCCAGCCAGCAUGGCUGUGAAUUGAGUGUUUCUAGAGGGAGUGCACUCGGUUGAAGGCCUGGGCACCUGGUUCCUCCUUGUGGACACUGAGAAGCAGAGAGGCACUUCCCUAGGGGAAAAGUCCCUAAAGGGAGCUGAAAUCCUCUUCGAGUGUGGGAGGAGGAAGAGAAAUUGAGUGCUGAAAAGGACAGGGCGGGUGAGCUGAUGGAGGGGAGACGGAGAGGCAGAGGGAGAAGGAGAGGGAGAGGGCUGGCAGGCGCCCAUAGCUGGGGCCAGAGAGAGAGGGUGCAGGGGACUCCAGCCACCUCAAAUAGGGUUGCAGCCAGCCCCAUUUUUGUGUGUUUGUUUGUGUGUCUGUUUGUUUGUUUUUGAGACAAGGUCUCCCUGGGUCACCAAGGCUGGAAUGCAGUGGUGCAAUCAUGACUCACUCCAACCUCAACAUCCUGGGAUCAAGUGAUCCUCUCACCUCAGCUCCCUAAGUAGCUGGGACCACAGCAUGUGCCACCAGGCCCAGCUGAUUUUUUUUUUUUUUUUUGAGAUGGAGUUUCGCUCUUGUUGCCCAAGCUGGAGUGCAAUGGCGCGAUCUCAGCUCACUGCAACCUCCACCUCCUAGGUUCAAGCAAUUCUCCUGCCUCAGCCUCUCGAGUAGCUGAGAUUACAGGCGCGCGCCACCGUGCCUGGUAAAUUUUUUGUAGUAGAAACGGGAUUUUACCAUGUUUGCCAGGCUGGUCUCGAACUCCUGACCUCAGGUGAUCCACCUGCCUUGCCCUCCCAAAAUGUUAGGAUUAGAGGCGUGAGCCACCAUGCUGGCCCUUUUUUUUUUUUUUUUUUUUUUUUUUAAGAUGGAGUUUCUCUCUGUCCCCCAUGCUGGAGUGCAGUGGCAUGAUCUCAGCUCACUGCAGGCUCUGUCUCCCGGGCGCAAGCAAUUCUCAUGCCUCAGCCUCCUGAGGAGCUGGAAAUACAGGUGCCCACCACCAUGCCCAACUAAUUUUUGUAUUUUUAGUAAAGAUGGGGUUUCGCCAUGUUGGCCAGGCUGGUCUCAAACUCCUGACCUCAGGUGAUCCGCCUACCUCGGCCUCCCAAAGUGCUGGGAUUGCAGGAGUGAGCCACUGUGCCCAGCCAAUUAAAAAAAAAAAAUUUUUUUUGAGACGAAAUUUCGCUCUUGUUGCCCAGGCUGGAGUGCAAUGGCAUGAUCUGGACUCACCGCAACCUCCGCCUCGUGGGUUCAAGUCAUUCUUCUGCCUCAGUCUCCCAAAUAGCUGGGAUUACAGGCAUGCGCCACCAUGCCUGGCUAAUUUUGUGUUUUUAGUAGAGAUGGGGUUUCACCAUGUUGGUCAGGCUGGUGUCAAACUCCCGACCUCAGGUGAUCCGCCCACCUUGGCCUCCCAAAGUGCUGCGAUUACAGGCAUGAGCCACCACACCUGGCCUUAAAACAUUUUUUGUAGAGAUGGGGGCUUGCUAUGUUGCCCAGGCUGGUCUUGAACUCGUAGGCUCAAGUGAUCCUCCUGCCUCAGCCUCAUGAGUAGCUGGGACUACAAGUGCACACCAUCACGCCUAGCUAAUUUUUUUUUUUUUUUUUUUUUUUUUUUUUUUUUUUUUGUUUUGAGACUGAGUCUCAUUCUGUUGCCCAGGCUGGAGUACAGUGGCACGAUCUCGGCUCACUGCAACCUCCACCUCCCGGGUUCAAGUGAUUCUCCUGCCUCAGCCUCCUGAGUAGCUGGGAUUACAGCUGCCCACCACCACGCCCGGCAAAUUUUUGUAUUUUUAGUAGAAGUGGGGUUUCACCAUGUUGUCCCGGCUGGCCUCGAAUUUCUGACCUCAAAUGAUCCUUCUGCCUCGGCGUCCCAAAGUGCUGGGAUUACAGGCAUGAGCCACCGCGCACUGCUAAUUUUUUUUAAAGAUGAAAUCUUGCUAUGUUGCCCAGGCUGGUUUGGAACUCCUGAGCUCAAAUGAUCCUCUCAUCUGGCCUCCCAGAGGGCUGGGAUCCCAGGUGUGAGCCAUCGGGAACCAGCUGCAUUUUCAGUGCUUACUCAUGGCCAAAGUGAAUCAGAUCCAACUGAGGAGGAGGAGGCGCGCAUCACAGGUCUCCCUAGACAAGCCAGGCACUGUAGGGAUCUGCAGGGCCUCGGGAUUGUGGGGGGCUGCGGUCAGCCCCUUCACCCCAACACCUACCUGCCUGGGGCUCCCCCACCGUGUUCCUGCUCGGCAUCCACAAAGCAGCGCGUGUGCCGGACGCCCCCUACUGGUCGGGGGAGCCCCAGCCCUGUGAGCCCAGAGAUGUCCCCCUGACUUGGGGAGAGGAGGGCCAGAGGACCGGAAGUGGCUUUGCUCCGAACCCCAGUAGGAGCAUCUGACCCCCGUUCCGCCUUCCUGGGAGCAUCCAGGAUCCUUUCCCAGGCAGGGACUUUUUGCUUCUCAACCUGGCUCCAACGACUGGUGUCCCUGCCCCCGCCACCACCCCAAAGAGGCUAUGGUUCCCCAUAUGCACGGGAGUAUAGCAGGGCCGGAAAGGUCAGGUGCUGCAUCCCCCUGCUCCCAGCAAAUUUCUAUAGCGGAACAAGCCUCGUUAAGACUGAGGACAUAGAUUCCUGCCUGGGUUCCAUCUCCAAUUCUCUGUAUGUUCUCAGGAAAUUCUCCUCCCUUACUCUAUCCUACCUUCAAACCCCCCAUCUGGGGCAGGAGAAUUUUCCUGUGACCCCCAAUGCCCUUUACCCUGGUGUAACCCCCUUUUGAUGAGUGUGGGCAAAACCUACAAAUAUAUCACUUCUGUGGUUAGGAUGCAUGACAUGCUAUGGUUGACCUUGAGGCAGAGAGAUUAUCAAUGAUUCUGACCUAAUCACAUGCACUCUUAAAAAGCAGAGUUGGCCAGGCGCAGUGGCUCACACCUGUAAUCCCAGCACCUUGGGAAGCUGAGGCUGGAAGAUCGCUUGAGUCCAUGAGUUUGAGACAAGCCUGGGCAACAUAGGAAGACCCUAUCUCUACAAAAAAAUUAAGAAAAUUAACACAUAUAGGCCGGGUGCGGUGGCUCACGCCUGUAAUCCUAGCACUUUGGGAGGCCGAGGCAGGUGGAUCACCUGAGGUUGGGAGUUCAAGACCAGCCUGACUAAUAUGGAGAAACCCUGUCUCUACUAAAAAUACAAAAUUAGCCGGGUGUAGGCUGGGCUCUGUGGCUCAUGCCUGUCAUCUCAGCACUUUGGGAGGCUGAGGUGCGCGGAUCACCUGAGGUCAGGAGUUCAAGACCAGCCUGGCCAACAUGGUGAAACCCGUGUCUACUAAAAUGUACAAAAAACUAGCCGGCCGUGGUGGUGCAUGCGUGUAAUCCCAGCUUUUCAGGAGGCUGAGGCAGGAGAAUCACUUGAACCAGGGAGGUGGAGAUUGCAGUGAGCCGAGAUUGCACCAUUGCAUUCCAGACUGGGCGACAAGAGCAAAGUUCUGUCUCAAAAAAAAAAAAAAAUGCUGAAUAAUAUUAGGCCGGGCGCAGUAGCUCACGACUGUAAUCCCAUCACUUUGGGAGGCUGAGGCAGGUGGAUCACGAGGUCAGGAGAUUGAGACCAUUCCUGGCUAACACAGUGAAACGCUGUCUCUAGCCAGGCGCGGUGGCUCACACCUGUAAUCCCAGCACUUUGGGAGGCCGAGGCGGGGAGAUCAAGAGGUCAGGAGAUUGAGACCAUUCUGGCUAACAUGGUGAAACCCCAUCUCUACUAAAAAAUACAAAAAAUUAGUCGGGCAUGGGGGCAGGCGCCUGUAGUCCCAGAUACUCGCGAGGCUGAGGCAGGAGAAUGGCGUGAGCCCGGGAGGCAGAGCUUGCAGUGAGCUGAGAUCACACCACUGCACUCCAGCCUGGGCGACAGAGCGAGACUCUGUCUCAAAAAAAAAAAAGAAAAGAAAAUUCUAGAAACACCGUGUCUACUAAAAAUACAAAAAAGCCAGGUGUGGUGGCAGAGGCUGAGGCGGGAGGAUCGCUUGAGCCCAGGAAGUUUUGUUUGUUUUGUUUUGUUUUUAGAAGGAGUCUCGUUCUGGAAUGUAGUGGCAGGAUCUCGGCUCACUGCAACCUCCGCCUCCUGGAUUCAAGUGAUUCUUCUACCUCAGCCUCCUGAGUAGCUGAGACUACAGCCGUGUGCUACCUCCCCUGGCGAAUUUUUGUAAUUUUUUAGUAGAGAUGGGGUUUCAUCAUGUUGCCCAGGCUGAUCUCGAACUCUUGACCUCAAGUGAUCCGCCCGCCCCUACCUACCAAAGUGUUGAGAUUACAGGUGUGAACCACUGUGCCCGGCCUGAGCCCAGGAAGUUGACACUGCAGUGAGCCAUGAUUGCACCACUGCGAUCAAACCCCACCCCCCGAAAAAAAAGACCCAAAAACCUAAGUGUAAAAAUGAGAACAACCUAUCCUCACCUCUGCAGCAGCCACCUUUGCCGACAGCUCUUCCUCCUGGCUGCAGUUCUUAUGAUUUCCCAUCUCCAACCAGCAGCUCCCAACCAGCCUGGGAAGGGGUUGGGGGUAGCCUUUGUCCUGAAAACUGCUGUGCUGAUGGCAUGGUCAGAGCAGCUGACACCUCCGAGCCAGUGAGGAAAGAGCCAAGGGAAGGAGUCCUGAAUCCUCUGCUCUAAGGAAUCCCCCAUGCUUGCUUUCUGGGGCUUCCUGGACUUGUGGCCAUCUUUAGGGUCAGUCAAUAAAGUUGCUUUUUUUUUUUUUUGAGAUGGAGUCUCGCUUUGUCACUCAGGCUGGAAUGCAGUGGCACAAUCUCGGCUCACUGCAACCUCCACCUCCCGGGUUCAAACGAUUCUCCUGCCUCAGCCUCCCAAGUAGCUGGGACUACAGGCGUGCGCCACCAUGCCCGACUAAUUUUUGUAUUUUUAGUAAAGAUGAAGUUUCACCAGUUGGCCAGGCCGGUCUCGAACUCCUGACCUCAGGUGAUCCACCUGCCUCAGCCUCCCACAGUGCUGGGAUUACAAGCGUGAGCCACUGCCCCUGGCCUUCCCUUUUUUUUUUUUUAAUUAUUUUAUUUUAUUUUGUUUUGAAGUAUUUCACUCUGUUGCCCAGGCUGCCUUUGCAAUCCUGGACUUGGGGGAUUUUUCUGUCUCAGCCUCUGGAGUAGCUGAAAUUACAGAUGUGUGCCACCACACUCUGCUGAUUACUUUCUUUUUUUACAGAGACCCACCUUUUAUUUGUAUUUAUUUAUUUAUUUAUUUAUUUGAGACAUGGUCUUGCUCUGUUGCUCAGGUUGAAGUGCAGUGGCAUGAUCACGACUCACUGCAGCCUUAACUCCUAGGCUCAAGCAAUCCUCCCGCCUCAGCCUCCUGAGUAGCCAGGACUUCAGACAUAAGCCACUGUGACCGGCCAAGAGACCCACCUUUUACAGGGCAAGUGGUUUGUUUGCCAAUUUUCACUGCCCCACCACAUGAGGGUGUUUCGAGUGGGAAGCAGGUGCACCCUGUGUGAACAGCAAAGCCCAGCGCAUGCCUGCUGCCUCCCACCUGCUGCCACGUAGAGCUGGGAAGGGGAAAGGCUGAGCCCCACCUCCGACCUUCCCUACAUAUCAGGAAAUCUUGUCGUUCUCCAAGGUCAGCUCAGACGCCUCUGGCCACUGCCGCCCAUGGCAACUUGGUGCCAGGGAUGACAGCAACCAACACUCAUUGAUGCCGUGACAUGCCAGGCUGUCACCAGCUUUUCACAACAGCCCUGCCAGGGAGAUGCUGUGUGGCUUUCAUUUUGCAGAUGAGAGAGCAGAGUCAGGUUAGUAGGGUUGGGGUUCAGGCAGGACCUGGAUUCUGUACCACACUUCGUGGCUGCUAGUGGUUUCUGGAAGUCUGUUGUCUGAAGAGCAGGGAGUGUGUGUAGACAGAGACAGGUCUGAGGGCUGUGCCGUGGGCAUGUCCUAGACGCAAAGCAAAAAAAGAAUUUCAAGAAGGUCAGAUGCAGUGAAGGCAGAAAACAGAGACCCAGAUGUAGCAUCCUGGAGGUCCUCGUGACUUUGAAAAGAGAAGGGUUUGUGUGUGUGUGUGUGUGUGUGUGUGUGUGUGUGUGUGUGUGUGUUUUAUUAUUUAUUUAUUUAUUUUUGAGACAGUCUCACAGUUGCCCAGGCUGGAGUGCAGUGGUGCGAUCUCGGCUCAGGUGCGAUCUGUUGCCCAGGUUCAAGCGAUUCUCCUGCCUCAGCCUCCUGAGUAGCUGGGAUUACAGGUGCCUGCCCUUGCGCCUGGCUAAUUUUUGUAGUUUUAGCAGAGAUGGGGGUUUCACCAUCUUGGCCAGGCUGGUUUUGAACUCCUGACCUCGUGAUCCACCUGCCUUGGCCUCCCAAAGUGCUGGGACUACAGGCAUGAGCCACCGCGCCCAGCCAUAUGUGUUUUAUUUUGGAGACAGGGUCUCACUCUGCGGUCUAGGCUGGAGUGCAGUGGUGCACUCUUGGCUCAAAGCAGCCUCAACCUCUUAGAAUCAAGUGAUCCUCCCUCCUCAGCCUCCAGAGUAGUAGCUGGGACCAAAGAUGUGCAUCACCACACCUGGCUAAUAUUUUAAUUAUUUAUAAAGAUGAAGUCUUGCUAUGUUGCCCGGCUGGUCUGGAACUCCUGGGCUCAAGCCAUCCUCCUGCCUCCUGCUUUGACCUCCCAAAGUGCUAGGAUUACAGAAGUGAGUCACUGCCCCCAUGCAGUCAUGGGGGUGUGAUGGAGUGAGCAGGAGGGAAGGGGAGAGAGUGAGUGUGAACAUCCAUUUCAAGGAGUUUUGCUGUUAGAUUCCAGAGCUGGGCUGGGCGUGGUGGCACAUACCUGUAGUCCCAGCUACAAAGGAGGCUGAGGCAAGAGAAUGGCUUGAACCUGGGAGGUGGAGGUUGAAGUGAGUGGAGAUCAUGCCACUGCACUCCAGCUUGGGUGACAGAGUGAGACUGUCUCAAAACCAAGAAAAGAGAGCAGAGCUAAGGGGAUCUAGGGUCAGUCCGUUGGUUUGAAAGGAGAAUAGUAACAGCUUGUUAGUAAUGGGUAUGAUCCAAAAGACGGUGUGCACUGAAGACAAAGGAGAGAGGACAGUUUCUGGAGUGACGGCUCUGAGUUGUGCAAGUAGAAGGGUCUUCUGUGCAUGAACAGCAUGGAUGCUCAUCCAGAGACACUGGCCGAUGGCAGUUCCCAGGCACAGAGAGGGAGGCAGUGGCGGGCAUGGCAGCCUGUGGAAGGUCUCUUCUAAUUGCUUCCAUUUCCCUCAGAGGAACGGGAAGUGAGCUACAAGCAAGGAGGAGGUGCUAGAGGGCUUGAGGGGAGAGGAGAAGGAAGGGUAGGAAGAAGGGGCCAGGGCAACAGGAUGCAGUCACAGCAACCCCCAGACCCACUUGAGGGUAUGGAUCAGGCACUUAAAAAUAAGAGCAGUGGCAGGCUGGGCGCGAUGGCUCAUGCGUGUAAUCCCAGCACUUUGGGAGGCCAAGGCGGGCGGAUCACCUGAGGUCUGGAGUUCGAGGCCAGGCUGACCAACAUGAAGAUACCCCAUCUCUACUAAAAAUACAAAAUUAGCUGGGCAUGGUGGUGGGCACCUGUAAUCCCAGCUACUUGGGAGGCUGAGGUAGGAGAAUCACUUGAACCCAGGAGGCAGAGGUUGCGGUGAGCUGAGAUUGUGCCGUUGCACUCCAGCCUGGGCAAUAAGAGCAGAGCUCUGUCUCAAAAAAAGGACCUGGUGGAGGCCGGGCACGGUGGCUCAUGCCUGUAAUCCCAGCACUUUGGGAGGCUGAGAUGGGUGGAUCACAAGGUCAGGAGAUUGAGACCAUCCUGGCUAACAUGGUGAAACCCUGUCUAUACUAAAAAUACAAAAAAUUAGCCGGGCACGGUGGCUGGCACCUGUAGUCCCCAGCUACUCUGGAGGCUGAGGCAGGAGAAUGGCGUGAACCCGGGAGGCGGAGCUUGCAGUGAGCAGAGAGAGCGCCACUGCCGUCUGGCCUGGGCGAAAGAGAGAGACUCCGUCUCAAAAAAAAAAAAAAAAAAAAAAAAGAGGGUCUGGUGCAGUGGCUCACGCCUGUAAUCCCAGUGCUUUGGGAGGCUGAGGCGUGAGGAUUGCUUGAGCCCAGGAGGCUACAAUAAGCCGUGCACCACUGCAUUCCAGCCUGAGUGAGAGUGAGACCCUGUCUCAAAAAAAAAAAAAACAAAAAUCCAAAAACCCGUCACCUAGCGGGUGACUUUGACUUUGACAACAUCCCUAAUACAACUGUUGCUGACUGGAGGGAAAAAAUAAAAACAAACCAAUCAGCAAGGUUGUGGGAUUUCCUCUUUCUAGCCAUAUUUGGCUGUUUCUUUCAGGUAGGGAGAGGGGAAGAGCAGGCAGUGUGAGAUGAACUGGGUCACAGCUGCAGGAGUUAGCAGGAUCAAUGGGGUCAGCCGACUAUGGCCCACUGCAUUUUUUGUUUGUUUGUUUUGAGAGGGAGUUUUGCUCUUGUCACCCAGGCUGGAGUGCAAUGGUGUGAUCUCAGCUCACCACAACUUCUGCCUCCCAGGUUGAAGCCAUUCUCCUGCCUCAGCCCCCUCAGUAGUUGGGAUUACAGGCGCCCACCACCACAACCAGCUAGUUUUUGUAUUUUGAAUACAGACAGGGUUUCACCAUUUGGCCAGGCUGGUCUCGAACUUCUGACCUCAGGUGAUCUGACCUCCUCAAGCCUCCCAAAGUGCUGGGAUUACAGGCAUGAGCCACUGAGCCUGGCCCAGCCCACUGCUUUUAUAACAAACCUUUUUCUAUUGUGGUAAAAUAUACAUAACAAAGACUUACUGUUUAACCAGUUAUUUAUUUGUUUGUUUAUUUGUUUUUGUAGAGACGGGGUCUCACCAUGUUGCCCGGGACAGUCUUGAACUCUUUUUUUUUUUUUUUUUAAGUAGUCUCGCUCUCUUGCCCAGGCUGGAGUGCAAUGGUGUGAUCUCUGCUCACUGCAACCUCUGCCUCCCAGGUUCAAAUGAUUCUCCCUCCUCAGCCUCCUGAAUAGCUGGGAUUACAGGCACAGGCCACCACACCUGGCUAAUUUUUGUAGUUUUGUAGAGAUAGGGUUUCACCAUAUUGGCCAGGCUGAUCUUGAACUCCUAACCUCAGGUGAUCUGCCUGCCUUGGCCUCCCAAAGUGCUGGGAUUACAGGCAUGAGCCACCUCUCCCAGCUGGUGUUGAACUCUUGGUGGGUGAACAAGUGAGCCAGCCAGCCAAGCUUCAUCUGUAUCUACAGCCACUCCACAUGGCUAGCGGUACUGCCUGAGUUCCGCCUCCUGCCAGAUCAGCGGUGGCAUUAGAUUCUCAUAGGAGUGCAACCUUAUUGUGAAUGAACUGUGGGUGUGCGGGAUCUAGAUUGAGUGCUUCUUAUGAGAAUCUAAUGCCUGAUGAUCUGUCACUAUCUCCCAUCACCCCCAGAUGGGACUGUCUAGUUGCAGGAAAACAAACUCAGGGCUCCCAUUGAGUCUACAUUAUGGUGAGUUGCAUAGUUAUUUUAUUAUAUAUUAUAGUGUAAUAAUAGAAAUAAGGUAUGCAAUAAAUGUAAUGCUGUAGUAGGUGUCAGUGCUUCAUUCUGUCUUAUGGCUGAAUAAUAUUCCACUGUAUGGACAGACCACAUUUAGUUUAUCCAUUCAUCAGUUGAUAGAUACUAGGUUGCUUCCAUGUUUUGGCUCGUAUGAAUAAUGCUGCUGUGGACAUGGGUGUACCAUGAUCUGUUUGAGUCCCUGUUUUCAUUCUCUUGGAUGUUUACCUAGGAGUGGAAUUGCUGGGGCCUAUGAUAACUACUGCCUGUUGCAUGGCUCACAAACCAAGAAUGGUGUGGUAGACAGAAUAAUGGCCCCCCCAAUGAAGAUCAUGCCCCAUCCCCAGAACCUAUCAAUAGUUACCUUAUGUGGCAAAAGGGACUCUGCAGUUGUGAUUACGUUAAGGAUUUUGAGAUGGGGAGAUUAUUCUGCAUUAUCUGGGUGGGCCCAAGGUCAUCAAGAGAGGGAGAUGAAAGGGUGAGAGAGAUGGGAUGGCAGAAGCAGAGACUGAGAAGUGCACUUUGAAGAUGGAGGAAGGGGCCACAAGCCAAGGAAUGUGAGUGGCAUCUACAAGUUGGAAAAGGGAAGGAAACGGAUUCUUCCCUAGAACUUUAGGAGAAAUACAACCCUGCUUACACCCUGAAUUUAGCCAAACAUAACCCAUCUGGACUUCUGACCUUCAGAGAAUAAAUUUGUGUUGUUUUUUAAAAUUAUACACACACACACACACACACACACACACACACACACACACACACAGACAUAUAUUUGUGGAGAUGGAAUUUCCCUAUGUUGUUGCCCAGGCUGGUCUCCAACUGCUGGCCUCAAGUGAUCCUCCUGCAUCAGCCUCCCAAAGUGCUGAGAUUACAGGCAUGAGCCAUGAUUCCUGGUCAAAUUUAUGUUGUUUUAUGCCACUAAGCUUGUAGUAACUUGUUACGGAGGCCAUAGAACUUUUACAUUUUCAAAUGGUUGGAAAGCGAUCAAAUGAUAUUUUGUGGCACAUGAAAUUAUACGACAUUCCAUUUGUGUCCAUAAGCAAAGUGUUAUUGGCACCCAGAGAUGCCCAUUCAUUCAUAUACCAUCUAGGACUGCUUUCCAGCCGGAGGGACAAUAGAGUGCUUGCAGGAGGCCGUGUGGUCUGCAAAGCCUAAAAUAUUUACUAUCUGGUACUUUAGGGAAAAAACCUUGCUGACUCCUAAUAUAUUUAUUCAUUUUGUUGUUGUUGUUUGUUUUUUGAGACGGAGUCUUGCUCUGUCGCUAGGCUGGAGUGCAGUGGCAUGAUCUCGGCUCACUGCAACCUCUGCUUCCCAGGUUCAAGCGAUUCUCCUGCCUCGGCUUCCUGGGUAGCUGGGACUACAGGCACACAGCACCAUGCCCAGCUAAUUUUUUGUAUUUUAGUAGAGAUGGGGUUUCACCAUGUUGGCCAGGAUGGUUUCAAUCUCCUGAACUCAUGAUCCACCUGCCUCAGCCUCCCAAAGUGCUGGGAUUACAGGCAUGAGCCACGGCACCCGGCCUGUUUGUUUGUUUUUGAGAUGCUUCGUCACCCAGGCUGGAGUGCAGUGGCGCAAUCUCGGCUCACAGCAGCCUCUGCCUCCCAGGUUCAAGGGAUUCUCAUACCUCACUCUCCCGAGUAGCUGGGAUUACAGGUGCCUGCCAUCAUGCCUGGCUAAUUUUUGUAUUUCUAGUAGAGGUAGGGUUUCCCCAUGUUGGCCAGGCUGGUCUCAAACUCCUGACUUCAAGUGAUCCAUCUGCCUUGGCCUCCCAAAGUGCUGAGAUUACAGGCAUGCGCCACUGCUACCGGCCUGAUUUUUUUUUUUUUUUUUUUGAGGCGGAGUCUGGCUCUCCCAGGCUGGAGUGCAGUGGCACAAUCUCGGCUCACUACAAUCUCCACCUCCCGGGUUCAAGCGAUUCUCCUGCCUCAGCCUCCUAAGUAGCUGGGACUACAGGCAUGUGCCACCAUGCCUAGAUUUUUUUUUUUUUGUCCUUUUAGUAGAGAUUGGGUUUCACUAUGUUGGUCAGGCUGGUCUUGAACUGCUGACCUCAAAUGAUCCGCCCACCUCGGCCUUCCAAAGUGCUGGGAUUACAGGCAUGAGCCACGGCACCUGGCCUGAUUGAUUAUUUUUAUUUUUUAUUGUAUUUAUUUAUUUUUUGAGACAGAGUCUUACUCUGUCGCCCAGGCUGGAGGGCAGUGGCGCGAUCUUGGCUUACUGCAACCUCCGCCUCCUGGGUUCAAGAGAUUCUCCUGCCUCAGCCUCCUGCGUAGCUGGGAUUAUAGGCACCCGCCACCACGCCCGGCUAUUUUUUUAUUUUAGUAGAGAUAGGGUUUCGUCAUGUUGGCCAUGGUGGUCUUGAACUCCUGACCUCAGGUGAUCCACUCACCUCAGCCUUCCAAAGUGCUGGGAUCACAGGCGUGAGCCACCACGCCCGGCCUAGUCAAGGCAAUUCUGUAAGGGAGGAGCAGGAGGUAGACACGCUUGCUCCAGUUGCCAUUCAUUCAUUCACUCAUUUUUUCAGGCACCGGAGAGGUCAUUCAGUGCAUUUGGUUUUGUGGCCCUAUGGCAUAUAUUGAUUGUCUCCAAAUGUCAUCAUUUCCUGAGCACAGCUCCUGUCACUGCAGUGUGGUCGGCAGCUUCUCGAGGGCAGCAUUUCUGGUUUGAUUUCCGUGUGGCCAAGUAGGAUAUGUGAACACAGAAAGAAGUAGCCAGGACUGAUUGGACAGUCCCUCUCCAGGGCUGUGCAAAUGAUGCCCAUGUUCCUUGGGGACACAGAGUGGGUCCCGGAAGGCUGACGGGCAGCCCUGAUUCUGCUGCCUUCUGCCUGGGCUAGAGUGAGACCUCAGUAGCUGCGGGAAUCACAAGCAGCAGGGUGGGGCUAGGGUAAUACAAGGGAGGCCCUUGCUUGGGGAACAAAAGUUAAUGGGAGCACCAAACCCCUCAGUAAUCAAGUUUCACAAAACUUUAAUGCAAUACUUUAGAGAAAUCAAAACUGGCCAGGAACAGUGGCUCACACCUAUAAUCCCGGCACUUUGGGAGGCCGAAGCAGGAGGAUGGCUUGAGUCCAAGAGUUUAAGACCAGCCUGGACAACAUAGUGAGACCCUGUCUCUACAAAAAAUUUUAAAAAUUGCCAGGCAUGGUGGUGGCAUGCCUGUAGUCCCAGGUACUUGAGAGGCUGAGUUGGGAGGAUCACAUGGGCCUAGGAGUUCAAGGCCUGCAAAGAGCUAUUGUAUCACCACUGUACUCCUCCUGCCUGGGCAACAGAGUGAGACCCUGUCUCAAGAAAAAAUUGAAAUUAAUGCCAAAAAUUUACAAUGACCAAAAUAUCUGAAUUACAAAUUAAAAACACAUUUAUUGAUUUAUAAUAAAUCAGUAUUA
rnacentral:lncRNA from 1 species